rnacentral:ribozyme from 1 species
UUUAAAAUCCAUUUUGGAUUCUUCCUUUUCCGAUUUCUCCAAGAAGGCGCAUCCCACACAAAAACAAGAAGACCUGUAUGGCUCGUUGGAUUUAAAAGAAAUGAUGAAUUCU